rnacentral:tRNA from 1 species
GGUGAGGUGUCCGAGUGGCUGAAGGAGCACGCCUGGAAAGUGUGAAUACGGCAACGUAUCCGGGGUUCGAAUCCCCGCCUCACCGCCA